rnacentral:rRNA from 1 species
CGCAAGCCUGAACGAGCAAUGCCGCGUGAACGAGGAAGGUCUUCGGAUCGUAAAGUUCUGUUGAAGGGGUAAAAAGAGCGGAAGAGAGGAAAUGCUUUCUGUAUUGAUAUUACCCUUCGAGGAAGUCACGGCUAACUACGUGCC